UACUCGCAAGGAUCUGAACUUUAAUUCACAAAGAACCAUGGGUGGUCAUUUCUGCCUCCUUGUUUCUUUUUGCUUGGUCGCCAUUCUUUUCACCCAUGCACCGCUAGCGGCUACCUAUCAACUUAAAUCUAAGUCAGAUGAUUUCACAAAAGAAUCUUUAGAGUAUAUCCCGCUUGACUACCAUGAUAUAGCUCCAACUCCCGUCACCCCCAUUACACCAGCACCGCCAUGCAUAGGUUGUCAUUCCUCUACGGAUCAGGAAAAGCCACCUACUGCACAACAUUCACAAGUCAGUGAAGAUAAGUCGCCAUCACAUGAAAAGGAGAAAAAUAAGGCGACACAAAAACAUGUGUCAUUUUAAAAUGAGUUUUACACCUUCAUGUAGUAUGUAAUGACUUCUCAACAACAUAUGCAUAUGUUCUAAUCAAUAAGACCCAUCUAGUGAAUGAUCUACUAUCUUUCUGUGAUAUAUGUGGUCCAUCUUGUUAUUUGGAAACAUGAGAGUCAAAGCUUGCAUUGUGAAA